rnacentral:rRNA from 1 species
CCUACGGGAGGCAGCAGUGGGGAAUUUUCCGCAAUGGGCGAAAGCCUGACGGAGCAAUACCGCGUGAGGGAAGACGGCCUAUGGGUUGUAAACCUCUUUUUUCAGGGAGGAAUUUUGACGUGUACCUGAAGAAUAAGCAUCGGCUAACUCCGUGCCAGCAGCCGCGGUAAGACGGAGGAUGCAAGUGUUAUCCGGAAUCACUGGGCGUAAAGCGUCUGUAGGUGGUUGAACAAGUCAACUGUUAAAUCUUGAGGCUCAACUUCAAAAUCGCAGUCGAAACUGUUUGACUAGAGUAUAGUAGGGGUAAAGGGAAUUUCCAGUGGAGCGGUGAAAUGCGUAGAUAUUGGAAAGAACACCGAUGGCGAAGGCACUUUACUGGGCUAUUACUGACACUCAGAGACGAAAGCUAGGGUAGCAAAUGGGAUUAGAUACCCCAGUAGUCCUAGCCGUAAACAAUGGAUACUAGAUGUUGAACAGAUCGACCUGUGCAGUAUCAAAGCUAACGCGUUAAGUAUCCCGCCUGGGAAGUAUGCUCGCAAGAGUGAAACUCAAAGGAAUUGACGG